UUCGAUUCCGGAGAGGGGGCCUGAGAAAUGGCCACCAUUUCUAAGGAAGGCAGCAGGCGCGUAAAUUACCCAAUCCUGACUAAGGGAGGUAGUUAAUAGAAAUAACAAUCUCGUGUUGAAUAAAUACUGAGAAUGCAAUGAAGUCAGUUUAAAACGCUGACCGAAACCGAUUGGAGGACAAGUCUGGUGCCAGCACCCGCGGUAAUUCCAGCUCCAAUAGCGUAUCUUAAUGUUGUUGCAGUUAAAAAGCUCGUAGUUGAAUUUCCGGCGGAUUUCCGUCUGUCUGCAAAGGCUAUUGAUACCUAACGGUUUUGGUAGUUGGAUCAGACUUUUACUGUGAGAAAAUUAAAGUGCUCAAAGCAAGCUAACGCUUGAAUACUCUAGCAUGGAAUAAUAUAAAAGGACCUAGUUCAUUUUAUUGGUUAUUGGAUUGGGUAAUGAUUAACAGGAACAGUUGGGGGCAUUCGUAUUUGAUUGUCAGAGGUGAAAUUCUUAGAUUUAUUAAAGACGAACUAAUGCGAAAGCAUUUGCCAAA
rnacentral:rRNA from 1 species